rnacentral:rRNA from 1 species
GACGAACGCUGGCGGCGUGCUUAACACAUGCAAGUCGAGCGAGGCCCCUCCUUCGGGAGGGUGUCCUAGCGGCGAACGGGCGAGUAACACGUGGGUAACUUGCCCUCAGCUCUGGGAUAACUCAGGGAAACCGGGGCUAAUACCUGAUACGACCUCCACGGGCAUCUGCGGAGCUGGAAAGUUUGUCGGCUGUGGAUGGGCCUGUGGCCUAUUAGCUAGUUGGUGGGGUAGUGGCAAACGAAGCCGGCGACUGAUGGCCGGCACGAGAGCUGGACCGCGCACACUACUACUGAGACACGGACCAGACUGGAACGGUAGGCAGCGGGCGAGAGCAUGACGCAGUGAGCGAGAGCGAGUGACGGCGGCGCCCGGUGAGGGAAGAAGUGCUUCGGGUUAAGAACAUCUUUCAGCGGAGACGAAGCGAAAGUGACGGUACCUAAAGAAGAAGCACCGGCUAACUACGUG